CAGCCCCUGUUCUCCUAGCUAUACAGCCCCUAUGCAUCCCCACAGCCCCUGCCCCCCUCCUAGCUAUACAUCCCUACAGCCCCUAUAUAUUCCUACAGUCCCUGCUCUCCUAGCUAUACAUCUCUACAGCCCUGCUAUCCUCCUAGCCAAACAUUCCUACAGCCCCUAUAUAUUCCUAGUCCCUGCUCUCCUCCUAGCAAUACAUCUCUACAGUCUCUGCUCUCCUCCUAGCUAUACAUCCCUACAGCCCCUGUGCAGUUUCUAGCUAUACAUCCCUACAGCCCCUGAACCCCUCCUAGCUAUACAUCCCUGCAGCCCCUGUAACUCGUGUAGUUAUACAUCCGUACAGCCCCAGUCUCCCCCAGCUAUACAUUCCUAUACAUCCCUGCAGCCCCAUACCCCUCCUAGCUGUACAUCCCUACAGCCCCAGUACAUCUCUAUAGCCCCUUUACCCCUCCCUUUUAACAUCCCUCCCUCCUAUACUUUGUCACAGCCCCUAUUCCCCACCUCUCUAUAGAUUGAUACAGCCCUCCUAUCUAUACACUGCUAAAGCCCCUGUACACUUCCCUUCCCUACAUCCCUGCAGCCCCUCUUCACCUCCCUCUCCUACAUCUCUACAGCCCCUCCAGUUUCUCCACAAACCAUAUUUGGUGCAGUAGUAGUGCAAGCUUCCAUCCACUGCCCACCAAUAUGUCCACAGUCCUGACCUUGAGGCCCUAUAUCUAUGGGAUAAUGACAGUUCAUUCUCCAUUCCUUCUGAAUGUUUGUCUUUAAUGCGGAGACUGACAACAAGAGUACCAAUUGUGGCAGUGAUUUUGACACGUGACUUUUGCCCACUGGGAGAUAGACUGAACCAUUUCUUUACUAUUUAAACCUUUCCUGGGCAACAUAAGCUAACAUGAAAAAGACGUACUGGAAUAAGAGUCAACGAUGUUUAGACUGGUAUAACUUAAGUGCGUUUGGUUUGAAGCGUGUCAGAGACUCCCCUUGGGAUAACAAGCCUGGAACUUUCCGCUACAAAAGCAGAGAACAACAUGCAUCUGCUGGCCUUGUGAUCACCGAGCCUUGCUUCAUUACCCAGAGAUUUGAGAAGCUGGAGUGAAUGAUGCCAAAUGCCCCCAACCCUGGCCCCUUUUCAUUGGCUGGAGAUCCUCAGUGUGAAGAAUCUGUCUGAUCUAGCAAGUCAGGUCUUCACACGCAAGCCAGAAAAGUAGGUUCUCUUCGCUGUACUCUGUUCGAAGAAACUCUCUGAAAAGGUUC